rnacentral:rRNA from 1 species
AUUGCAACUACAAAAAGGUUUGAUAAUGUCCAACCGGCAGGCAAGCCCGCCGAGGAAACAUACGGUACGCAAAAGACAAGGUGCAGCAAGGACCGAAGUCCGCUGUUUUGAUAAUGAUCUUUCUUCCGGUAGGGUGACCUGCGGAAGGAUCAUUA